rnacentral:tRNA from 1 species
UAGAGAGUAGUUUAGUUGGGAAAACGAAGAACUUUGAUUUCUUAGCUGUGGGUUCGAUUCCCGCCUCUUUAA